rnacentral:ncRNA from 21 species
AGCAGAGUAGAUAUUGUGCGUCAAGUGUUAGAGGAUGGGAAGUUGUCUCUAAACGAAAAGCUUAGUCUUGCGGUUCAAUAUCGCUUCCGCUGUU